UUCGUUUCCACUGAAUCCACACAGCUCGAACAACUUAGAUUGAGUCAGAAACCCUAACUAACACCACUGCAUAGGCCAGGUUGAGCCCCAAAGAGGCUG